rnacentral:rRNA from 1 species
AGCGAACGCUGGCGGCAGGCCUAACACAUGCAAGUCGAACGGCAGCACAGUAAGAGCUUGCUCUUACGGGUGGCGCGUGGCGGACGGGUGGGGAAUACAUCGGAAUCUACUUUUUCGUGGGGGAUAACGUAGGGAAACUUACGCUAAUACCGCAUACGACCUACGGGUGAACGCAGGGGAUCUUCGGACCUUGCGCGAUUGAAUGAGCCAAGGUCGGAUGAGCUAGUUGGCGGGGUAAAGGCCCACCAAGGCGACGAUCCGUAGCGGGUCUGAAAGGAUGGUUAGCCACACUGGAAGUGAGACACGGCCCAGACACCUACGGGGGGCAGCAGUCGGGAAUAUUGGGCGAGGGAGGAGAGGCUGAUACAGCAAAACCGCGGGAAUGAAGAAGGAGUUAGGGUGGGAGAGCGCUGUUGUUGGGAGGGAAGAACAGCUCGUUAAUCCCCGACUAUACUGACGGUACCGAAAGAAUAAGCACCGGCUAACUUCGUG